UACGGGGGGGGCAAGCGUUGUUCGGAAUUACUGGGCGUAAAGGGCUCGUAGGCGGCCAACUAAGUCAGACGUGAAAUCCCUCGGCUUAACCGGGGAACUGCGUCUGAUACUGGAUGGCUAGAGUGUGGGAGAGGGAUGCGGAAUUCCAGGUGUAGCGGUGAAAUGCGUAGAUAUCUGGAGGAACACCGGUGGCGAAGGCGGCAUCCUGGACAACGACUGACGCUGAGUGAGCGAAAGCCAGGGGAGCAAACGGG
rnacentral:rRNA from 1 species